rnacentral:rRNA from 1 species
UACGGGGGGGGCAAGCGUUGUUCGGAAUUACUGGGCGUAAAGGGCUCGUAGGCGGCCAACUAAGUCAGACGUGAAAUCCCUCGGCUUAACCGGGGAACUGCAUCUGAUACUGGAUGGCUUGAGUUCGGGGAGAGGGAUGCGGAAUUCCAGGUGUAGCGGUGGAAUGCGCAGAUAUCAGGAAGAACACCAACGGCGAAGGCAGCUCGCUGGGGACGGUACUGACGCUGGAGACGCGAAAGCGUGGGGGAGCGAACAGGAUAGAAAC